rnacentral:tRNA from 1 species
GGGCCGGUAGCUCAGCUUGGUAUGAGCGCCGCGUUGGCAUCGCGGAGGCCGCGGGUUCGAAUCCCGCCCGGUCCACCA